CUAAAACUCAAAGGAAUUGAGGGGGGCCCGCACAAGCGGUGGAGCAUGUGGUUUAAUUUGAGCAACGCGCAGAACCUUACCAGCCCUUGACAUGUCCAGGACCGGUCGCAGAGAUGUGACCUUCUCUUCGGAGCCUGGAGCACAGGUGCUGCAUGGCUGUCGUCAGCUCGUGUCGUGAGAUGUUGGGUUAAGUCCCGCAACGAGCGCAACCCUCGCCCUUAGUUGCCAUCAUUUAGUUGGGCACUCUAAGGGGACUGCCGGUGAUAAGCCGGAAGAAGGGGA
rnacentral:rRNA from 1 species